AAGAAAGCAUGCAAGAGCUGCUAACUCAUGCUACCGUACUUAGACAUACGGCUUUCUUA
rnacentral:tRNA from 1 species